GUAGGGAAUAUUGGACAAUGGGGGCAACCCUGAUCCAGCAAUGCCGCGUGAGUGAUGAAGGCCUUAGGGUUGUAAAGCUCUUUUACCCGGGAUGAUAAUGACAGUACCGGGAGAAUAAGCUCCGGCUAACUCCGUGCCAGCAGCCGCGGUAAUACGGAGGGAGCUAGCGUUGUUCGGAAUUACUGGGCGUAAAGCGCGCGUAGGCGGCUGUUUAAGUCAGAGGUGAAAGCCUGGAGCUCAACUCCAGAACUGCCUUUGAGACUGGACAGCUAGAAUCCUGGAGAGGUGAGUGGAAUUCCGAGUGUAGAGGUGAAAUUCGUAGAUAUUCGGAAGAACACCAGUGGCGAAGGCGGCUCACUGGACAGGUAUUGACGCUGAGGUGCGAAAGCGUGGGGAGCAAACAGGAUUAGAAACUCCGGUAGUCC
rnacentral:rRNA from 1 species